GCGUCUCCAUGGCGACGUCGGACGCGGCGGUGAGGGCGGCUGGUACCCACCUGCUAGAGACGCUGCAGCGGGGAUCGACGCUGGGACGAGAUCAUGUCGGAACUGGGCUCCGAGGAGUUGGAGGAGGAGGGAGAGAAUGAUAUCGGGGAAUACGAGGGGGAUCGGAAUGAGGCAGGUGAACGGCAUGGACACGGGAAAGCGAGACUACCCAAUGGGGACACAUAUGAAGGGACCUAUGAAUUCGGUAAAAGACAUGGCCAGGGGAUCUACAAAUUUAAAAAUGGUGCUCGAUACAUCGGAGAAUAUGUUAAAAAUAAAAAGCAUGGUCAAGGCACUUUUAUAUAUCCAGAUGGAUCGAGAUUUGAAGGGGAGUGGGUGGAUAACCAGAGGCAUGGCCAUGGUGUGUACUACUACAUCAACAAUGACACCUACACUGGAGAGUGGUUUGCUCACCAAAGGCAUGGGCAAGGCACCUAUUUCUAUGCAGAGACGGGCAGUAAGUACGUCGGGACCUGGGUGAACGGACAGCAGGAGGGUGCAGCUGAGCUCAUUCACCUGAACCACAGGUACCAGGGCAAAUUCUUGAACAAAAACCCUGUUGGCCCUGGAAAGUACGUGUUUGACAUUGGAUGUGAGCAGCAUGGUGAAUAUCGCUUAACGGACAUGGAACGAGAAGAGGAAGAGGAGGAGGAGAUGUUAGCAGCUGUCAUUCCAAAAUGGAAAGCUAUCAAAAUCACAGAAUUGGCCCUGUGGACACCGACCCUCCGUGAGGAGCCGCCACGUAUGGAGGAGGCAGUCCAGGAAGAGGCACCAGGUGCUGAGGGUGUGGGAGAGCCCGUGGAGGAUGUUCAGACUCUGAUGGACGUUUCCGAGGAAGACACAGAUUUGAUGAGACCUGGAGAUGAAGAUGCAGACGCCAUCCAGGAGGACCGCUGGGACGAGUUCCGCUAUGACAUGGCCCUGGGAAAUGUUAGUUUUGAGGAAGAAGAGACCAGACAAUCGGAUGGGCCGGAGUAACGCGGAGCGAGGGGCGAGGCGGGGAGGCCGUGUCGUGGGCGCUCUGCCGGCGGGCAGCUCACGCGAAUCGGUCAUUCAUCUCUCUCCCAGUCGUUCCUCGUGUCGGUUUACGAUCGCAAAUAAAUCUGUUCACGAUCCUGUUUCUGAAAUAGCCUCUGCUUCAAGUUCUUUAAACCACAGGUUAUCAGGUUGUAGAGUUUUCUCCUGGGAACAAGAAAGCUGUGACUGCAGAAGACGGCUCAUGGGAAUAGAAUUCCAGCCAAGCCAGAAGGACAGUCACAGUCAGCCUGCCACAUUGGUGGGGCCCGAGGGGCUGAUUGGGGACCAGAGUCUCCUCAGAUUUGGGUACCCUGCGUGGUGGGCGGGUCCUGGAACCAAUCCCCUGGGAAUAUGAGGGAUGACUGUAUAUAAUAAAACUUCUCUCUCAAAUUUCUCUUGAGAAAGCUAGGGAAACACCUAGAAAGGGAUUAUGUGUGCAACUCUCACAAAACGCAAUAUAAUAAAUACAAACGUACUUCAAAGUG